UACGGAGGGGGCUAGCGUUGUUCGGAAUUACUGGGCGUAAAGCGCACGUAGGCGGCUUUGUAAGUUAGAGGUGAAAGCCCGGAGCUCAACUCCGGAAUUGCCUUUAAGACUGCAUCGCUUGAAUCAUGGAGAGGUGAGUGGAAUUCCGAGUGUAGAGGUGAAAUUCGUAGAUAUUCGCAAGAACACCAGUGGCGAAGGCGGCUCACUGGCCCGGUACUGACGCUGAGGUGCGAAAGCGUGGGGAGCAAACAGG
rnacentral:rRNA from 1 species